CGGGGUGCAGCAGGCGCGAAAACUUUACAAUGCGGGAAACCGUGAUAAGGGAACUCCGAGUGCCCGUAAAAUCGGGCUGUCCAUCUGUUUAAAUAACAGGUGAAGAAAGGGCCGGGCAAGACCGGUGCCAGCCGCCGCGGUAAUACCGGCGGCUCGAGUGGUGGCCACUAUUACUGGGCUUAAAGCGUUCGUAGCUGGUCUGUUAAGUCUCUGGGGAAAUCUACUGGCUUAACCAAUAGGCGUUUCAGGGAUACUGGCAGACUAGGGACCGGGAGAGGUGAGGGGUACUCCAGGGGUAGGAGUGAAAUCCUGUAAUCCUUGGGGGACCACCUGUGGCGAAGGCGCCUCACCAGAACGGCUCCGACAGUGAGGGACGAAAGCUGGGGGAGCAAACCGGAUUAGAUACCCGGGUAGUCCCAGCCGUAAACGAUGCGCGUUAGGUGUAUCGGUGACCACGAGUCACCGAGGUGCCGAAGAGAAAUCGUGAAACGUGCCGCCUGGGAAGUACGGUCGCAAGGCUGAAACUUAAAGGAAUCGGCGGGCGAGCACAAGGGCGAAU
rnacentral:rRNA from 1 species